GACGAACGCUGGCGGCGUGCUUAACACAUGCAAGUCGAACGGAAAGGCCCUGCUUUUGUGGGGUGCUCGAGUGGCGAACGGGUGAGUAACACGUGAGUAACCUGCCCUUGACUUUGGGAUAACUUCAGGAAACUGGGGCUAAUACCGGAUAGGAGCUCCUGCUGCAUGGUGGGGGUUGGAAAGUUUCGGCGGUUGGGGAUGGACUCGCGGCUUAUCAGCUUGUUGGUGGGGUAGUGGCUUACCAAGGCUUUGACGGGUAGCCGGCCUGAGAGGGUGACCGGCCACAUUGGGACUGAGAUACGGCCCAGACUCCUACGGGAGGCAGCAGUGGAGAAUAUUGCACAAUGGGCGGAAGCCUGAUGCAGCAACGCCGCGUGCGGGAUGACGGCCUUCGGGUUGCAAACCGCUUUCGCCUGUGACGAAGCGUGAGUGACGGUAAUGGGUAAAGAAGCACCGGCUAACUACGUG
rnacentral:rRNA from 1 species